GACGAACGCUGGCGGCGUGCCUAACACAUGCAAGUCGAGCGAGGAGAGUUCCUUCGGGAACAAACCUAGCGGCGGACGGGUGAGUAACACGUGGGCAACCUGCCUUGUAGAGGGGAAUAGCCUUCCGAAAGGAAGAUUAAUACCGCAUAACAUUACAGUUUCGCAUGAAACAGUAAUUAAAGGAGCAAUCCGCUACAAGAUGGGCCCGCGGCGCAUUAGCUAGUUGGUGAGGUGACGGCUCACCAAGGCGACGAUGCGUAGCCGACCUGAGAGGGUGAUCGGCCACAUUGGGACUGAGACACGGCCCAGACUCCUACGGGAGGCAGCAGUGGGGAAUAUUGCACAAUGGGGGAAACCCUGAUGCAGCAACGCCGCGUGAGUGAUGAAGGUUUUCGGAUCGUAAAGCUCUGUCUUCGGGGACGAUAAUGACGGUACCCGAGGAGGAAGCCACGGCUAACUACAUG
rnacentral:rRNA from 1 species